rnacentral:lncRNA from 1 species
AGGAGUUUUGGGUCAAGCUCCUAGUAAUCCUCCUACGUCUACGCCGGCGCCACCCACACCACCGGCUUCUACUCCUCCUCCGACGACUCAAGCACCGCCUACACCAACCGCCACUCCGCCACCGGUUUCUACUCCUCCUCCCACUUCAUCACCGCCCCCAGUGACAGCUUCUCCACCCCCAGUUUCAACUCCUCCACCCAGUUCUCCUCCUCCUGCAACUCCACCACCUGCUUCUCCUCCUCCUGCAACUCCACCUCCAGCUUCUCCACCUCCUGCCACUCCUCCACCAGCUUCUCCACCUCCCGCCACUCCACCACCUGCAACCCCACCGCCAGCAACUCCUCCUCCUGCUACCCCACCACCAGCUCCAUUGGCUUCUCCUCCAGCCACAGUCCCAGCUAUCUCUCCAGUACAAACACCAUUGACAUCGCCACCAGCUCCGCCGACCGAGGCCCCAGCAC